CGCCCUCCGUAUCUACCGCCAUCCUCCACCGUCGGUGAUGCUACGACCAUCCAAACAAAAUCCCCUCAAUCGUAAAGUCUCGCGAUCGUUAAUGAUCUUUCAAAACCUAAUUAAAAGUUUUUAAAAAAAAAAUCACAAAUCAGAAGUAUCCAUCAGAUGAAAUACAAAAUCAAUCAACCUCUGGACUCAUAAAAGCAGAUGGAUUAACGUCACGAUUCG